GCCCAACAGGCAAGUCCAGGUGCUGAGGAACUGAGGCCCACAGCCGUGGGAGUGACCCCUGGGGAAGGGGAAUUCUCCAGCCCCAGCCAGGCCUUCAGAUGACUGCAGCUCUGGCCAGCUUCACUACAAAUCCCACGAGACUGUGUAGAUGUCAAUGUUUACCUGCUUCGUAAAAGAAAUAAGUUGUAACUCAAGCAUACAUCAAUACAGUAAACUUUUUAAAACUGAAAGAAAAGAAAAGACGUAAAGAAUGUUCUGAAAUGAUUUCUAGAACAUUGGGACUCUCUGUUCUUUAAAAGAUGUAUGAUUCAGGGCCAAAAGGAGAAGGGGGCAACAGAGGAUGAGAUGGUUAGAUAGCUUCACCAACUCAAUGGAAUUUGAGCAAACUCCUGGAGAUAGUGGAGGACAGAGGAUCCUGGUGUGCUACAGUCCAUGGGAUCACAAAGAGUCAAACAUGACUUACCGACUUAACAACAACAAUUCAGUGCAUUAGCUAAUUUUUUUUGCCUGCAUGUGUCAUGGAGUCUACAAAUAAGAUUGUGAUAUAAUCUGCUUUUCCUUGUGGUCCUAUAUAUAUACAUAUAUUCUAUUCUAUAGAAUAGAACCACAAGCACUGAAGAAUUGAUGCUUUUGAACUGUGCUGUUGGAGAAGACUCUUGACAGUCCCUUGGACUUCACAGAGAUGAAACCAGUCAAUUCUAAAGGAAAUCAACCCUGAAUAUUAAUUGGAAGGACUGUUUUUGAAGCUGAAGCUCCAAUUUUGGCUACCUGAUGGGAAGGGCUGACUCACUGGAAAAGACCCUGUUGCUGGGAAAGAUUGAAGGCAGAAAGAGAAGAGGGCAACAGAGGAUGAGUUGGUUGGAUGGCAUCACUGACUCAAUGAACAUGAAUCUGAGCAAGCUCCAGGAGUUGGUGAUGGAGAGGGAAGCCUGACAUGCUGCAGUCCAUGGGGUUGCAAAGAGUCGCACACGACUUGGUGACUGAACAACAAAUAUAUAGAAUAGAACCAUAUAUAUACAUAUAUAUCCUGUUGAUCUUUUUUAUUUUAUUUUAUUUUUAAACUUUACAAUAUUGUAUUAGUUUUGCCAAAUAUCGAAAUGAAUCCACCACAGGUAUACCUGUGUUCCCCAUCCUGAACCCUCCUCCCUCCUCCCUCCCCAUACCCUCCCUCUGGGUCGUCCCAGUGCACCAGCCCCAAGCAUCCAGUAUCGUGCAUCAAACCUGGACUGGCGACUCAUUUCAUACAUGAUAUUAUACAUGUUUCAAUGCCAUUCUCCCAAAUCUCCCCACCCUCUCCCUCUCCCACAGAGUCCAUAAGACUGAUCUAUAUAUCAGUGUCUCUUUUGCUGUCUCGUACACAGGGUUAUUGUUACCAUCUUUCUAAAUUCCAUAUAUAUGUGUUAGUAUACUGUAUUGGUGUUUUUCUUUCUGGCUUACUUCACUCUGUAUAAUAGGUUCCAGUUUCAUCCAUCUCAUUAGAACUGAUUCAAAUGUAUUCUUUUUAAUGGCUGAGUAAUACUCCAUUGUGUAUAUGUACCACAGUUUUCUUAUCCAUUCAUCUGCUGAUGGGCAUCUAGGUUGCUUCCAUGUCCUGGC
ensembl:lncRNA